rnacentral:rRNA from 1 species
UCGGGGUAGCAAUAUUCCGGAGUCGGAGCGGCGCAAGGGUGCGUAACACGUGGGUAAUCUGCCAUGAAGUUUGGGAUAACUUGCUGAAAGGCGAGCUAAUACCGGAUGUGACCAUCGGGAGGCAUCUCCUGAUGUUUAAAGUUGGGGACCGUAAGGCCUGACGCUUCAUGAUGAACCCGCGGCCUAUCAGCUAGUUGGUGAGGUAACGGCCCACCAAGGCUAAGACGGGUAGCUGGUCUGAGAGGACGACCAGCCACACUGGAACUGAGACACGGUCCAGACACCUACGGGUGGCAGCAGUCGAGAAUUUUUCACAAUGGGCGCAAGCCUGAUGGAGCGACGCCGCGUGGGGGAUGAAUGGCUUCGGCCCGUAAACCCCUGUCAUUCGCGAUCAAACCUUGUUAUUUAAAAGAUGACGAGCUGAUAGUAGCGGAAGAGGAAGGGACGGCUAACUCUGUGCCAGCAGCCGCGGUAAUACAGAGGUCCCAAGCGUUGUUCGGAUUCACUGGGCGUAAAGGGUGCGUAGGUGGUGAGGUAAGUCGGAUGUGAAAUCUCGGAGCUCAACUCCGAAAUGGCAUUGGAAACUACCUUGCUCGAGGAAUGGAGGGGGGACUGGAAUUCACGGUGUAGCA